rnacentral:misc_RNA from 1 species
CUGCCCUCAAGCACGGCUUGUGUGUUGGGCUCCGUCCCCCGAUCCCGGGGGACGGGCCCGAAAGGCAGCGGCGGCACCGCGUCCGGUCCUCGAGCGUAUGGGGCUUUGUCACCCGCUCUGUAGGCCCGGCCGGCGCUUGCCGAUCAACCAAAUUUUUAUCCA